GGAAGGAUGGCAGAGAGGACGAUUGCGCGCGGUUGCUAACCGUGAAGCCGGAAACGGCUCAAGGGUUCGAAUCCCUUUCUUUCCA
rnacentral:tRNA from 1 species